rnacentral:rRNA from 1 species
GGAAGUAAAAGUCGUAACAAGGUCUCCGUUGGUGAACCAGCGGAGGGAUCAUUACGGAGUUGCAAGACUCACCCAAACCAUUGUGAACCGCACCCCUCACCGUUGCUUCGGCGGGCGGCGCCCCGGGCCCGACAGCGGCCCGCGGGCGCCCCCAGCCCCGCCCCCGGGGGCCCGCCGGAGGAAUACCCGGAAACCCUUUGGCAUCGCAAGGCAUCUCUGAGUCUCUGUACCGAAUUAAGUCAAAACUUUCAACAACGGAUCUCUUGGUUCUGGCAUCGAUGAAGAACGCAGCGAAAUGCGAUAAGUAAUGUGAAUUGCAGAAUUCAGUGAAUCAUCGAAUCUUUGAACGCACAUUGCGCCCGCCAGCAUUCUGGCGGGCAUGCCUGUUCGAGCGUCAUUUCAGCCAUCAAGCCCCGGGCUUGUGUUGGGGACCUGCGGCCGCCCGCAGGCCCUGAAAUCCAGUGGCGGGCUCGCUGACACACCGAGCGUAGUAGCAAUCGACCUCGCUCAGGGGCGUGCUGCGGGUUCCAGCCGUAAAACCGCGUCUCAGCACACUAGGUUGACCUCGGAUCAGGUAGGAGGACCCGCUGAACUUAAGCAUAUCAAUAAGCGGAGGA